AACACCAUGGACAUGAUGAGUCUGAUCUGAUAUUUUAUCCUUCAAAUUUGAAAAAUUUUCUAUGCAGAAUGUCAGGACAUAAAUGUAGAUUUUAAAUUUAAGCCGAGGGUAAUUUUCAUCCCCUCUAAUCUUAUUUUGAGAUAAUGCACAAAUCUUGAAUAAUAAAUAUGAUAUUUAAAACAGCAAACUUACCAUUGUCUCUGAUAAAAGUUAUAUUUUUUUUUCUUUCGUGUGUUUCAAUUUGUUUAUAUUUCAGGUGACAUUAGAGUAUCAAAAAAUUUUGAUAGACAAGGGAAUUUUUAAGUUUUUUUUUCCCCCCAUACCUUUUUUGUUUGUGAACUAAUCAUUCCUUUGAAAAGUUUGCAGCCUAAAAAACUAGCAAAACUACACGUUUAUUUCAUUGUACUCUGCACAUAGGAACAAAUCUUGAUUGCGCUGUUUCAGUAUUUUGCUCUCACAUGUCUUUAUUCACAGGAAUGUCAAAUUUCUAGUGAUUUUUCUUUACCAAGAAUAGACUCUGAAUUUUUCAGACCAAUUUUUGAGAGGGCUCUCCCAUGAAAAAAUGAAAUGUUUGUAGAAAUUUUGUAGAAGCGCAGAGAAGAUACAUCUGUCAUGCGGAAAACAACAGUCUUAGUUCGGAUUUUUAAAAUAAUAAAUAGUAUCCAUAAAAAGAAACAUAAAUGCAACAAAAAUGAUUUAACUGAAUUAGCAACAUAAUGAAUAUUGAUACAUUAUUCUCCGGUAAUUCAAAAGUCCAGAUUGUUUUUUCAAUGUCACAAAGAAGUUGUUAACAGGUUUUCACCCUUUCCUUCUCUUUCAGAUGGCUUAACUGAUGCAGAAACGGUGUUCAAUGAAGUAAUCAACGAAUAUCCAGAUCACUUGCCUGCACAAUUAGCUUUGCUGCAAAAGUUAGAGCCAGACACAGCUUCUUUCAAUCUGAGUGGUAAUUGCACCCUGUCAACUAUCAGCCGGGUACUAAAAAUAACAGAGUCGAUCAUGGGGAAAAUCAACCAGACUGAAUUACUAGCGUUUUUGGGCAUGAAACACGAUCUGAGUGGAGACGCCCCCUCAGUUAAAAGCCAAAUGGAAAAAAAUCGUAAUAUCUUAGUCGAAGCUAUUGGUCGCCGUGGAGUCGCCAUGUGCCGAUAUUACCUUGAAUUUGAAGGCAAAGGAACAUCUGAUCCGGAAUUUGAAAUUUGGGGAGUGCAUGUUCGCUAAAUAACAUUAAUGAUCUCUGGUGCUUUAUUUUGAAAUUUGUUGAUGCUUCAGAUCCAAAGGUAAGGAAAUUCUUUUUCUCUUUUCGCUCAGCCUCAAAGCAACCUCUACCAUGUCAAUAAUCACUGUGAAAAUCUCCUCAGUAGUCAGUCUUGUUUAAUAAGUCAAAUUUAGUAUCUUUGAUUUUUAUCUCACAUUUUAAAGUACUUUUACUGUGAAACCGCAGGAAUGCUUAUCUCCUUUGCGGUGUUUCAAAAUCUUUGCUCCCAUUUUAUUUAUUAAAAGAAAACAAAUCAACGCCAUGCUUGAAAUUUUCUUUCAUAACUGAAGCAUAUUGACGGCAUAAGUCUGCAAUCACAUAUCUCGUUUGCGGUGUCUGAAAAUCUCCGCCUCUAUUUUAUUUUUUUAAAGAAGAACAAAUUGACAUCAUUCCUUGGAGUUUAUGCAGAAUUUUCUUCGCACAGACAAGAAAUAUCACGCCAGUUUUAAAAAAUUGCUGUCGAGUAGUUUUCCUUUUAAAAAAUGAAGUAUGACAGGAAGUCUGCAAUGUUGCAAACCGAGUUAUGUGAUCGCCGACUUACACUACAGAUACAUCAACGAGAAUCCGCCCAAUUACUUAAAAACGGUGCCUAGUAAACUCUGAUUUUUUUAUUUUUUAAACAGAAAACUGAGCAUUACUGAUAAGAAAUUUUGUGAGUAUACUCUUCAAAACCUACGGCAAAUUCAUGCAAAACCUAUAAGUAUAAAACCUGAUAGAAAAUCAGGCAACGUGAAAUGCAGUUAGACUGAUUCAAUUCAAUCCGUUCUUAUGAUAGUUAUUUUAGUAGUAUUUCUUCAAAGUAUUGUCCCUAACUGUUUGUUCUAAAUUUAAAUUAAUGUGAAUGGUUCUCCUCUAUUUACAAAAAUCUGGGAAUUACUGGCAUUCCUACCAAUAGGCAAUUCAUUGUGUUGGUAUCAAAUACAGGGUAGCCUGUAUAUCUGAAAAGAAGAAAAAAAAGAAGUUUCGUUUGAAAAAUCAUUUUCACUAAUCUCAAAUAUGUGUUUGUCAAUUUUCAGGGGACUCAUCAUUUUGCACUGUGGCAUGCUGCUGUGCACAAGAAUUACGGACGGCUGUUGAAACUGCUAGUCAAAUUGAAUGAUGACAAACCUAACAAAACGAUCGAAGAAAGCAUGCAAUGGACUGCAGACAAAGCCGGCUGGACGCACAUUAGCAACUACUUGAAAACGUCCCUUCCCUCUCGCUACCCCAAUGCUUUCAGAAUUUGUUAGCUGUAGUUUUUUAUCCCCAGUCAACCGUAACCUUAGGAGGGACUGGAAUAUAUUGUGUUACUCUGCAUUUUCCAACACCUAUUUUUUAAUGCUGUGCUGUGACUUCACGCGGUAAAAAAUCCUCCUACUUUUACCAUCAGUAUUUUGCCCUUAUUGUGAAACUCUGAAUUAUAAAGUCUCAGGUCAUAACUUACUUGCGUAUCGAGGGUAUUUUUCUGCUCUGAAAAAGAGUUUCAAAAAAAUUCAAGCAUGAAUCUUUAGCAAUGAGUGAGUACAAAUUCAGUGCUGGCUUUUUUCUAAUUUUUUUUUACAUUUUAUUGAAUUUUCUACACUAUUGUUGGUUAACUGGAAUCAACCCUAUUUUCUAUUUUUUUUUGUAUGUGUAAUUUUUUUUAAAUAAACUAACUAAUUCUUUUCAGUUUCAGUGAAAGUUUAUUUUUUAUUGUUCCAAUAUUCUAAAAACAAAAAAAUCAUAACUGAGGACAAGAUAUUCUGUGAAUAGAGCAAACUAAUAGACUGGCUACGCACCUUUGACAGGUUCCUUGCUAAUGUCUUUUUGUUCUUUUAUCCCCGUAUAGUAUAACAUUUCAAUGGCCAAAGUGCGAAAGUUUCUCUGUUGCGAUGUUUUAAAAUAUUGCUCCAAUUUGACUUUUUCGAAGAGAAACAUGCUUACUUGAUAGGAUACAGGAGACCCAGGGGCUGCCCAACCUGAAAUCCAAGAAGCCCGACCCCAAGGGGCUGCCCCCCUUGGCUUCCAAGAAGUCCAACCCCCAGGGGGCUACCUAACCGUUGUAAUGAACCGUCAGUUCUUGAUUGCAGUUGCCCAGAGAGUGAAGAAUGGACAUGAACGCCUCAAGCCGCUAGUACCUAAUAGGUACCUAUGAAGAAAUGAUACUGUGGGGCCCUCGAGUGUAAAGCAUUCAGCAACUUUUCAAAACCAGCGAAUUCCCGAAAAUAUAUAAAAAUUUAGAACAGCUCUGCAGUGCUAAGGAAAAACGCCGUAUGAACCUUCAGGCAUCGUCAAGUUUCCUUUGAUAAAACACGAAUUUCCCGGUAAACUAGUGGAUAUUUUUCUCCCAGUUUUUCAGAUAAUUUUGUUCGCAAUUUCACCCUAGAUUUCUGAAAAUUUUAGACGGAAAUAAACAUUAAUUUUCUUAAAAAUAGACAUUUUAGCGAAGGAAAUUUGGCAACUCGCGAACGAUCAUACGGCGUAUUUCCCUAGCACGGCAGAGGUUACGAGCUUACGAAUGCUGUAGGCGGGGAAUCCGUAGGAGAGCGCGUUGCGCGGAAGGCGCGCCGCAUCAAAUGAAGGGACCAGAACGAGUUACCUACGUAUUUCUGCACAUAAGUCCGAGAUACGCGAAAAAAGUUCUACUGUUUUAGGUGACUUCCCUAUUUUUUUCGAUUAAAGUCUCUUGCUGGCAGGUAGACAACAUCUUCAACAACACGUUUAUGCAGCUAACUUAAAACUGUCAAAAAUCGAGAUGUGCCCACCAGGGCCGGAUUUACCUACUUGCCGCCCGUGGGCCGCCUGUAUUCUGCCGCCCCCUUUUCAUUAGUUUUGAAACAUCAUACAUACAUACGUGUAUAACAACCAUCAAGUAUAAACGUGCUGGAGAGGGAGGAGUGCACAAGACGCGUUUACUCGUGUUGGACACAUUUUUUGUGAAUGCCCUGUCAACACUACUGGCAAAAGUUCACGGAACUUUGCGCGAAAGUUAAGUUCCGUAAGCCUAUCUCUGUGUAGACAAGACCUUCCAUUUAUAAGAAAUGAACGAAAAAA
rnacentral:lncRNA from 1 species